UUGGCUCCAGUGGUGUCUCAACUUUGAUUUCCAUUGAAAAUAAGAAUACAAGCCAUGAACUUAAAUGGAAAAAAAGAGAGGAGAGUGCGAUGAUCGCCGGUGAAUGAUCUUAGAGGGAAGGAGGGUUAUUUGUAGAGAAUCUCCUAAGAUUUUGUUCGAGUCCAACCAUCCUAUGAAUCUAUUUCUCACUUGGACUCAUCGGAAGAGAAGGC
rnacentral:lncRNA from 1 species